AACGAACGCUGGCGGCAUGCCUAACACAUGCAAGUCGAACGAGACCUUCGGGUCUAGUGGCGCACGGGUGCGUAACGCGUGGGAACCUGCCCUUAGGUUCGGAAUAACUCCCCGAAAGGGGUGCUAAUACCGGAUAAUGUCUUCGGACCAAAGAUUUAUCGCCUUUGGAUGGGCCCGCGUUGGAUUAGCUAGUUGGUAGGGUAAAAGCCUACCAAGGCGACGAUCCAUAGCUGGUCUGAGAGGAUGAUCAGCCACACUGGGACUGAGACACGGCCCAGACUCUCCCGGGGGGGGCAGCAGGGGGAAAUUUGGGACGGGGGGCAACCCCCUUACCCCGCUGCCCCGUGAGUUUUAUGAGGCCUUGGGUUUUAUAACUCUUUUUCCCCGGGGUUGAUUAUCACUUCCCGGGGAGAAUGCCCCCCCUAUCUCCCC
rnacentral:rRNA from 1 species